rnacentral:rRNA from 1 species
AUUGAACGCUGGCGGCAUGCCUUACACAUGCAAGUCGAACGGUAACCGGUCUUCGGAUGCUGACGAGUGGCGAACGGGUGAGUAAUACAUCGGAACGUGCCUAGUAGUGGGGGAUAACUACUCGAAAGAGUGGCUAAUACCGCAUGAGAUCUACGGAUGAAAGCAGGGGAUCGCAAGACCUUGUGCUACUCGAGCGGCCGAUGGCAGAUUAGGUAGUUGGUGGGAUAAGAGCUGACCAAGCCGACGAUCUGUAGCUGGUCUGAGAGGACGAUCAGCCACACUGGUACUGAGACACGGCCCAGACUCCUACGGGAGGCAGCAGUGGGGAAUUUUGGACAAUGGGCGCAAGCCUGAUCCAGCAAUGCCGCGUGCAGGAUGAAGGCCUUCGGGUUGUAAACUGCUUUUGUACGGAACGAAAAGCCCUGGGUUAAUACCCUGGGGUCAUGACGGUACCGUAAGAAUAAGCACCGGCUAACUACGUGCCAGCAGCCGCCGUAAGAC